UACGGAGGGAGCUAGCGUUGUUCGGAAUUACUGGGCGUAAAGCGCGUGUAGGCGGCUGCUUAAGUCGGGUGUGAAAGCCCGGGGCUCAACCCCGGGAUGCCGCCCGAGACUGGGCGGCUUGAGGUCGGAAGAGGGGAGUGGAACUGCGAGUGUAGAGGUGAAAUUCGUAGAUAUUCGCAAGAACACCAGUGGCGAAGGCGGACUCACUGGCCCGGUACUGACGCUGAGGUGCGAAAGCGUGGGGAGCAAACAGGG
rnacentral:rRNA from 1 species